AGCAUGCUGCCAGAGAGGAGAUCCUAGCCAAUGGAGGAAGCCUCUCGCACCACCAUGGAGUUGGGAAACUUCGUAAGGAGUGGAUGAAGGACAGCAUCUCUAACGUGGGCGUCGGGAUGCUCAAGUCCGUUAAGGACUAUGUGGACCCGGAAAACAUUUUCGGCAACCGAAACCUCCUCUAAUUUAUUUACAUGACAUUUUUAUAACAACCUCUUGGAAUAAUGGUUACUAAAUAUGACGAGCAGUAUCAAUGUCAUUCACCUUCGGGGUGACUUUGUUGUGCAGUCAACAUCAGUCAGAUGACUUGCCUUACUGCACUUAACAUGCUGGGGCGGCAGCGUAGCCUAGUGGUUAGAGCGUUGGACUAAUAACCGGAAGGUUGCAAGUUCGAAUCCCCGAGCUGACACGGUACAAAUCUAUCGUUCUGCCCCUGAACAGGCAGUUAACCCACUAGGCCGUCAUUGAAAAUAAGAAUUUGUUCUUAACUGACUUGCCUAGUAAAAUAAAGGUUAAAAUAAAUGCUGUAACGGUCAUAAUGGUCUAUGAUUCAUUUAGAAGCUCAUUGCAUCAGGUCCUCAGUAGUGUCCUCGUCCAGGAUGAUCUGGUGAAUGAAGCCGUGUGUAUCAUACUGACGAUAGUACUGUAAAUGUGUGAUGAGAUGCGGUCAUUUCAGUCACGUGUCUACAACCACGCCGGAAGAAUGCCCUUUUUCAUAUUGUACAUGAUGCAGGAUAACAUCCAUAUUUGCCUAUAAUUUAAUUUUCCUAUAAUUCUUGCCAAUUUCAUUAACUAGAUGUUUUUUUGGUAGAUGUUUAUUUUACCUGUGUAUUGGCAGUACUUUAGCAGGGAGUUCUAGAUGAAUGCUUUUUCUAAAGCUCUGUGCCUUUCUGAAGAUGUCUGUCUUCACCCUUUCCUACACAACACACACACACUGGUUUAUUUAUGGCGUCCUGUAUGUUCCCUUAUGUGCGUGUCCUUCAUUCUAGAUGUCCUGUUUCCAGUUGGUCUUUGCUUCUCCACUCAAGCCGUGUAUUACUUAUACUAUUAAUGAUUACUGGGAGAUGUGUGUUUUGUUUUACCUACCUAAGAGGAUUUAUAUUACGUUGGAAGUCGUGCCUCUUCUGAAAUGUACCUUUGGGUUAAAAUGGCCCUCAAACCCAAACGUUAAACUGUAUAUGAAGAAACUAGGAUAUGAUGCAUAUCAACGUAUUUUUUCUUAUUAAAAAAAAGUUUUAUUUUAGAUUUGACCUUGCAUGGUUUUUGCCUGUCAUACAGAGUUCAGUUUGUGGACAGAGACAUACGUGCUUUUAGUGUGAACAUUUUACAGACUACUGAAUCCCAAUACCCAUGUUUGUUCCAAAGACUUUCAGCACAGCCCUUUCACUACUUUAUAUAGACCAUGCAAACAUCCUGGAUAUGUAGGUCUGUACAUGCCGUAUAGUUAAAUGUAUGGCACGUUCAUACAGUUAAUACAUGAACCUAUAUCCUGAUUAAACUUCUUUUUUUUUCGAUAUGCAAAUUUACAAAUAUCAAAAGAUGUGUUCAUAUUUGUUACUUUAAAUGUUACGUGUUCAUGUCAAAGAAAAACAUUUUCUUUAAAUUCAAUUACAAUAUUUUGUCACUACUUAAAACAGUUGCUUGAGGUUGUAUUUAGACAACAACGAAAUGCAUCCGACUGAAUUGUCUGUUCCCUGGUGAGCGUCCCAGCGUUGUGGUAAUGUUGGAAACGAUACAUUUGAGUGAAAGAUAAUUGUACCUUUCGUCACAAUUUACAGAUGAUUAUGCUUAUCAGUUUGGCCUCUUUGCGAGGCAUGUGUCGAUGUUGUGCCCAAUCCUAAACUCAGAAAUGGGAUUGUACUGUACGGUGCUUGAGUAAGAUGCAUGAAAUGUAUUGCUACCGUUUUACUGUCACUACUGCGUUCCUCCUGUUCUCGGCGUCGCAGCUUUCCCACAAUGCAUUGUCACCUUCCUGCCCAAGUAUCUCUUUUUUUUUUUUUUUUUUUUUUUUUUUUUUUUUAUUAACAACAAAUCAAUACAUAAAGCACAUGAGGGAACACCAGCAUACAUAGAUUACAAACAAUGGACAAUCGAGCUAGGGGCGGGGCUGGGGGCGGGGCUAGGGGCGGGGCUACAAUAUCACAUUACAAUUACACAAGGACCUUAAGGGACAUGCAUAUACUUACAAUUCUAACAGCUUUUUUGUUAGUAGAGCAUUUAACCGUCUUAAAAUACAGUUCAAUUUCUUUUUGUAGGAUACGAAUCCUGCCCAAGUAUCUCACCUCUCCACCUUCAAAGGAAAUGGUGGAGCCGGAGGCAGCGUUUAUCUAAUCAGUUUCAUGAUUUUACUUCCUGUGAUGGUUCCCGAAAGAGAACUUAAUGAGAGCUUGAAAUCUGAAUGUUAUGCAUGUAUUUUAUUUAUUUUUUAACUUUUUUUUUUAUUCUUAAAAAGUUAACAUUUUAAGUACAUUUUAUCAAUGAUGUUUGUGCAAUAAAUACAUUGAAAUGAAA